AUUGAACGCUGGCGGCAUGCCUAACACAUGCAAGUCGAACGGAAACGAUGGGAGCUUGCUCCCAGGCGUCGAGUGGCGGACGGGUGAGUAAUACUUAGGAAUCUACCCAGUAGCGGGGGACAACUCGGGGAAACUCGAGCUAAUACCGCAUACGCCCUACGGGGGAAAGCAGGGGAUCUUCGGACCUUGCACUAUUGGAUGAGCCUAAGUCGGAUUAGCUUGUUGGUGAGGUAAAGGCUCACCAAGGCGACGAUCCGUAGCUGGUCUGAGAGGACGAUCAGCCACACUGGGACUGAAACACGGCCCAGACUCCUACGGGAGGCAGCAGUGGGGAAUAUUGGACAAUGGGGGCAACCCUGAUCCAGCAAUGCCGCGUGUGUGAAGAAGGCCUGCGGGUUGUAAAGCACUUUCAGUAGUGAAGAAGAGCUUAGGGAUAAUACCCCUGAGUCUUGACGUUACCUACAGAAGAAGCUCCGGCUAACUCCGUGCCAGCAGCCGCGGUAAUACGGAGGGAGCGAGCGUUAAUCGGAAUUACUGGGCGUAAAGCGCGCGUAGGCGGCUUUGUAAGUCGGAUGUGAAAGCCCUGGGCUUAACCUGGGAAUGGCAUUCGAUACUGC
rnacentral:rRNA from 1 species